UCAAGGAGCUCCUUACACUGCCAUGCUGGAAGUUGGUCUCUAAUUUACUCACUGUUAAUAUUAUGCAUAUUGUUUGUCUUAGGGAAAAUAAGUCUUAUGUCUCUAUAUAGAAAAUUGUUUACUUCCGGGGGAAAUGUGUUAGAGAAAUGUGGCUAUAAAAUAAAUGUAAUUUUCCAUUGACUUCAUUUUCACAUAAGAGACUUAUUCCUGGGGCGGGAGAGAGGAGAAAUCCUGUAAUGGCCUGAAUUGAAGGCUACGGAAGACAUGAGGAAGCUGAAAACUUGUUACACCGUGCCCGGCCUCAGUGCACUUUUAAAUGUUUCACUCAACUAAUGAUUUCACAUCCUAUUCAUCUGAAA
rnacentral:lncRNA from 1 species